rnacentral:lncRNA from 1 species
CGCCCGGCCCCGCUCCGCCCCCGCUCCCUCCUACUGCUCCGCCUCCCGCUCCGCCCCCGCUCCCUCCUACUGCUCCUCCUGCCGCCCGCGCGGGGACGGAGCCUCUCUGUCCGUCCGUCCGCCCGCACCCACGGGCUCCCCGCUCGCCCGGCUGCUUGUCCGCCCCGGCCCCGGCCCCGGCCCCGGCCCCGGCCCCGGCCCCGGCCCCGGACGGACGGACGGACAGAGGGAGGGACAGAGGUGCAGCCCCGGGCCCCGGGGGCUCCUCUCCCGACGGCCGGUCCGGCGGCGCGCUCCGUCCGCCCCAUGCCACCCGGACGACGGCCCUGCCCAACAUCCUAGCCCGGCUGGACAGCACGCUCCAGCACUAUCCACUGCCCUUCCACCCUUCUCCAUUGCCUCUGCCAAAGUGGGAACGAGGAGAAAGAACACAGGAUUAGAAAAGAAAAUAUCAGGAGUGGAUCUACCAACUCUAUGGUAUUGUAUUCUCCCCCAAGUGCCCGUACAGUGCUCUCCACAUAAUCCCUCUAGAUCACAAGCUGGUCAUAGCCAGGGAGAGUAUCUACCAUCUCCUACUCUCCCAAGUUCUUAGUGCAGUGCUCUGCACACAGUGAGGUGCUCGAUAAAUACCAUUGAUUUUUUUUUUUAAUUGUACUUGUUAAGAGCUUAUUAUAUGCCACUGGUUAGAUAUAACCUAAUCAGGCUAGAUACGGUCCAUGUCCCACAUAUUGCCCAUAGUGUUAAUCCCCAUUUUAUAGCUGAGGUAACUGAGGCACAAAGAACCUAAGUGACUUUCCCAAGGUCACACAGCAGACAAGUGGCAGAGCUGGGAUUACAACUCUGGUCCUUCUGCCUCCCAGACCCGUUUUCUCUCCUCUAGACCAUGCUGUUUAAUCGCGCUAGCCUCAGAGCCCCUGUGGGUAGGGAAAUGAUGUCAACCAACUUUAGUGUAUUGUUCUCUUCGAAGCAUCUAAUACAGCAGUCAACAAGUAUCAUGAUUAAUUGCCACUGAUCUUCUCUGGGACCUUGGAAGCGGUCCCCAUCGGGACAUCAAUACCCCAUUGGGUCAGACCAAUUGUCAAUCCAACAUUUUGCUCUCACCCUGGGAGGAAAAGUAUGGCAGUUGCUCUUCUCUCUAGCCUUGGAUGUGAAUUUGCCAAGGCCUGAGUCUGCUGUACACAGUGGAUAGGGCACAGGGCUGGGAGUCAAAAGGAUGUGGGUUCUAAUCCCCGCUCUGCCGCUUGUCUGCUGUAUGACCUUGGGUAAGUCAGUUCACUACUCUGGGCCUCAGCUUCCUCACCUGUAAAGUGGGGAUUAAGAUGAUGAGCCCAAUAUGGGAUUAUUAGAUCCAACCCAAUUUGCUUGUAUUCCCCACAACUCUUAGUACAGUGCCUGGCACAGAGUAAGUGUUUAAUUAUUAUUAUUAUCAUGGGAUCUGGGUAUGCCUCUUCCCGAAGCUGAGCCGCCAAAAUUCAGCUGCAGGUGGCAGAGAGGAGAUGUGGCACGUGGAGAGUGAGGCUGUGUACUCAGAAGGGAGAAUCAAAUCCAGCUUGACCUGAUUUUUGUGCCGUUCAUAUGUUUGCCUGUGGAAAUUGCUUAAGACUAGAUGAGCUGACCUUAGGUGUGGACAAUACUAAACCUCAUCUCUUCCCAUCCAAGUGUAACUACCACAGACUAAAUCAAAACAAUCUCUCCUGGUCACAUUUGUGGAUGGUAGCCCGUUUGUUGACAACUUCUGUAAAUUCCAAUACCCUUUCUGAGAUUGACAGCCCAAACUCACUCUGUAUCAAAGAUGACUUGCCGAGAAUAGCGAUUUGACACUCUUUCAACAGUGAUCUUAAGCAGUUGUGUAAGGAUGAAAAGGAAGAUAUGUCAGGCUCCUAAAGAAUCCUUGCUGCUCUUUGACCAGAUACGUGAUUCGAUAAGAAUUGGCCGACCUGUUUUUAGGCCUUGACCGUUGAUCCUUGGGCUGGCAGUGUGUGCCGAAUGAAUAACUGAUCCUGCUCCACAUUGCUCCGGGCAUUGCUUCUACUUUUCAGAACUUCACAUAAGUAGGUAUGAAGGAAUAACUGAAGACUGUAGUUUUAUUUGAUUUCCAGAGUUCAGUUUCUAGAGUAGCACAAGUGGAAGUUUCAUCUUUAGUGACCUUGGAAAUCACAUCGCUUUCAUUAUUUCUAUCAAUUGUUUUUUAUCCAUCAGUUAUAUUUAUUGAGCACUUACUGUGUGCCCCACCUCUGCACUAAUACUUGGGAGAGUACAAUAUAACAGAGUUGGUAGACAUGUUCCCUGCCCUCUGUGAGCUUUACAGCCUAGGGGAAAGGGAAAAGACAAUUUCUGACUUUAGAGACUUACUCUAUUGCUUUCUGGAAAAAACGGUAAUCAAAAAUGUUCAUGUUUACUUCCUUAGCUUUUUUAAAAAUGAUAUUCGUUGAGCACUUACUAAGUGCCAGGUACUGUACUGGGGUGAUACAAACUUGUACUAAUUACUGGGGUAAUACAAGCUAAUCAAGUUAGACACAGUCCAUGGCCCACAUGGGGCUCCCAGUCUUAAUCCCCAUUUUGCAGAUGAGGUAACUGAGGCACAGAGAAGUGAAGUGAUUUGCCCAAGAUCUCACUGCAGACAAGUGGCAGAGCUGGUUUUAGAACCCAGAUCCUUCUGACUCCUAAGCCCGUACUCUAUCCACUAGGCCAUGCCUCUUCUCGUACAUACUUGAUGACCAACUAAUUGAUAGCUAACAGAUUGGUCUAGAAGAAAAAGGACGGGCUUGGAAGUCAGAGAAUGUGGAGACACCGGCCUGGGACUCAGAGGGAUCUGAAUUCUAAUCCCAGCUCUGCCGCUUGUCUGUUGUAGGACCUUGGCCAAGUCGCUUAACUUCUCUGUGCUUCAGUUUCCUCAUCAGCAAAAGAGGGAUUAAAAACCUGUUCUCCUUCUCCCCCUUAGUCUGUGAGCUCCCUCUACCAACCCAACGCUUAGUAAAGCCUAAGAAAUACUUCUAUUAUUACUAGGUCUAAUAAUUACUAAUUGCGUUAGUGCUCCUUCUCCUUUUGCCCAGGGUCCUUAGGUAAACUGGUGAAAUGGUUUGCUACUGUAAUGGAAGAGUCUGAGUUUUUCCUGCUCCCCACAUAAAAACUCGGCACUCUAAUAGAGGGAAGUCUCAGUUCAUAAAGGUGAUCUGGAAACUGUGGUGAAAAUAUCUUUGAAAUCACCAAUCAUUGAUGACAACUAACUGUUAAUACACGGCACCUUUGAACCUGAUGUAUCCAGCGGUGGUUAAGACCACGGUCCGAGAGCAGUUUACGCUGGCCGCCGCCUUCUGAUUUCAAAAUGAAACCUGAUGGUAUGAGCUCAACUUCUAUAUCCUUGACAGAAAGCUAGAUGUACCCUCUUUGGAGAGAGCAAGAUGAUGCGGACGGUCGAUAGGCAGCAGCAGGGUUUCAACCGCGUCCCUACCUUCUGGCAGGAUAAUAAGUGAAUCUUUCUUUUCUCUCCCAGCCACUGAGAGUCCUAUGUGCGUCACGCUGCCGAGGGGGACGGCGCUCAGGCGUUUCUAUGCGGAAGCUGCUUCGGGCCCCGUUCUCUGACUGAGCGAA